CUCUACACAGGAAGUGUCCUCUCUACACAGGAAGUGUCCUCACUGCACAGGAAGUGUCCUCACUACACAGGAAGUGUCCUCUCUACACAGUGAAGUGUCCUCACUACACAGGAAGUGUCCUCGACACAGGAAGAGUCCUCACUACACAGAAAGUGUCCUCACUACACAGGAAGUGUCCUCACUACUUAAAAAAGUGUCCUCACUACAGAGGAAGUGUCCUCACUACAGAGGAAGUGUCCUCUCUACACAGGAAGUGUCCUCUCUACACAGGAAGUGUCCUCUCUACACAGGAAGUGUCCUCACUAUACAGGAAGUGUCCUCACUGCACAGGAAGUGUCCUCACUACACAGGAAGUGUCCUCACUACACAGGAAGUGUCCUCACUACACAGGAAGUGUCCUCACUACACAGGAAGUGUCCUCUACACUGGAAGUGUCCUCACUACAGAGGAAGUGUCCUCCCUACACAGGAAGUGUCCUCUCUACACAGGAAGUGUCC
ensembl:lncRNA